GCAGUCGUGACCGAUUGGUAAGGCGAUGGACUAGAAAUCCAUUGGGGUCUCCCCGCACAGGUUCGAAUCCUGUCGACUGCG
rnacentral:tRNA from 1 species